rnacentral:rRNA from 1 species
CUCGUAGGCGGUUCAGUCAGUCGGGUGUGAAAACUUGAGGCUUAACCUCAAGAGGUCACUCGAUACUACUGUGACUAGAGUGCGGUAGGGGAGCGGGGAAUUCCUGGUGUAGCGGUGAAAUGCGCAGAUAUCAGGAGGAACACCAGUGGCGAAGGCGCCGCUCUGGGCCGUAACUGACGCUGAGGAGCGAAAGCAUGGGUAGCAAACA